GGAGGUUGGUCUGUGAGCGUGUGGUGAUGACGUCAGCCUCACCUCUCCACAGUGGAGCGCACAGGUGAGCACAAUCAGCCUAAUUGGCAGCUCACACCAGUGGUGUUGCAGAGCAGCUGAUGGCAGCAGGACAGCGACGUGGCAGCUAACUCAUUGGACUAAAACACAUUGGGGGGGAAAGGAACAUGGCAGCUAACUCAUUGGACUAAAACACAUUGGGGGGGAAAGGAACAUGGCAGCUAAUUCAUUGGACUAAAACACAUUGGGGGGAAAGGAAAAAGAUGGAAGAGGCUACGGGUUUUUCACCUUCCUGUUUGUGGUCAAUAAAUCCGCAAACUGAGUGAAAUCCUGAGUCUGGUCGAAUCUUCCAAGUUUUUCACCUUCCUGUUUGUGGUCAAUAAAUCUGCAAACUGAGUGAAAUCCUGAGUGGUCAAAUCUUCCAAGCAAGU